AUCGAAUUCUGUAUGUGGAGAAAAUCUGAUAACUUAUCAGAUUGUUGAGUAGGAUUGGAAUCUUUUUAAAAAAUAUUAUCAUUUUUGUUAUUAUCUUUUCUUAUUUUAGUUAAAUUUAAUUAGUAUUUAUUUUAUUUUAUUUCUUUCUUUUUGCCAAAAUUUGCCCUAUCCCCCACGUUUCCCCACUUUUCCAUUGCCUAAUUCAUUUGUUUUGUUUUUCUGCCAGCAAAAUCAAAAGUCAAAAUUAUUUUCUUGUUUUUCUUCAUAACUUUAAUAUUUGUUUAUCAUUUUAUUAUUCUUGUUUCAAGUCUGUUACCAUUUAUUUUCCUUUCCCAAUUCCACGUUUCUUUAAUUUUGUUUUACCUUUCUUGCUGAGUUCUUUCGCACUACUAUAUCCUCUUUCUCUUUUCUUGUUACUAUAAAUUCUUUUUGGAACUUUGAUUCUUGUUCUGUUGACUGCAAAUCGUGGGGUAAGUUUUCUUUUCAUUCUCUCGUAUAUGUGUGGGUUUUAAAUGUUUUUAGGCGUUGGGGUUGUAUUAAGUUUGUGUUUUGGGUUUUUGUAAUGAUUUCGAUACGUUUUUAGGAGAAGAACAAGAAGCAAUCGGCAGUCCUCCAGCGACUUAGAUGCUAGUUUGUUGCUGAUUUCUUUUGGGGUAAGUGUUCGAAUGCGUUUUUGGGGUUCAUUAAGUAUGUUGUGGUUGAAUUUUUGUUAAGUUUUGUAAACUGUUACUAAUUUGGUUGUGAUAGUUAUCAAUUUAGGUGUUAGAUAUCUUAUGGUUGCUUUCGUAUCGAAAUCGUAUCAGGUGUGUAGUGAGAAGCCCGAAAAAUAGCAAUCGACGAAAGCUGUAAAUCGACACUAUCGACGCCACACGGUUGUGUGUGACAGGCCGUGUGUGAACUGUUGAGCCACACGGUCUGGGCCAAUUGGCCCUUGUGGGCCACACGUGUGUGUGGGUCUAAAAUUUUGAAUUUUUCUCUAGGGUCGUAAACAGUGCUUGGAUCGAACGUAGGCUUUCUAUAGGGUUAGUAUGUUAUUAAUUAAGUUAUAACACGUGAAUUCUAGCCAUCUGUUAGUGUAAAAUUGAAUAUUUGUUCGUAUGUCUGAAAUGAAGUGUUAUGAGUAAAAUAUGUAAUAUGCAAUUUUUAAUCUGAAGAAAACAUUAUGUAUGUUAUGUACUUGUCAUGAUAAGCAUGUACAUCGUAAAUAAAUCUAAUAUCUGUUAGCUUUGCAUUUGUAUUGGGGAUGAGAAUUGUGUACUGGAGGAAGUGUGGGGAGUUUAAUUAUUUGCUGUAAUUGGUGACACAGCCACAUCUAUUUCUGUACAUAGCGAUAAUUCGCUUAUUGGUUUGGCAGUUAAGCUACAAAUAUUUUGAAAGUGUCAUACUAACACUAAGUGGUGUGUAGGGUUGAAUGGGUGUUUCAUACCCCAUAUGGUGUGUUGGGAUAGUUGAAGUUGGUGUGUAGCAGAUGGAGGUUACAAAUUGAGUUUGAAUAGUGUCAUACCGACACUAAGUGGUGCGUAGGGCUGGAUGGAUGUCUCAUACCCCAUAUGGUGUGUUGGGAUUAUAUUUUUCCAUCUGUACUGCUCUUAUAUGUUCAACAUAUGCUAUAUUUGCUUGAAUAAUUUCUGUUGUUUAAAUAAUAUGUUACACAUUGAGUUUCAAAAACUCACUCUCUGAAUGUCUGUCACUUUCAGAUAACCCUCAGACUUAGGCGAAUUCGUGCGAUGGGAGCUCGGUUAUGAUGUCUUGUUUUUUUUUUACAUGGUUUGUAAAAUUUGGACUGUCUUUGGCCAUUUUGGGACUGUUUAAAUUUUUAGACUGUUUAAAUUUCUGGACUUUACAUUUUGAUUUUUAACUGUUUUAUCUUUUCUGGUGGGUUUACAACUUGUUUUGCAAAAUGUUGAUUUUUAAAUUACAAAUCAUGUUUUCAAAAUUGAAUUCAAAUAAGACUUUUAGCUGCAAACUCAAAUAUUUUUAAAAUAAACUUUUCUAUAUAAACAACAUUUUUGAUAAUCAAUUAAGAGAGAUGGGCUUACAAACAAACCGGAUUUUAAGCAACGAAUGCUAAACGAUGAUUUUUUCAAAAACAAAUGAAUUUCGAAUUUUCAAUCGAUUUACGAUAUCAUCUCCAAAUUUGACUGUAAUAUCUAGGUCAAAUUUAGAGUGUUAUAAAUACAAUUUAACACUUGAUACAGAUACCUCCAUGAGAUUCACACAAUUACUUACUAUUGGGUAGGUAUAUGAAAAUCAGAAAAAAGAACAAGUGUUUUAUGAUUGGUAUGUUGGAGUUAAGAGAUUGAUGGUGUUAGUGUGUCCACUGUGGAGUUCAUGUGCGCUUCACUGAUAGGCCUCCAAUACUUUUCCACUGUACUUUCAACAUCCCUCUGUUGGUAAUGCAGGUGGGCCAAUAUUUUUUUCC
rnacentral:lncRNA from 1 species